rnacentral:rRNA from 1 species
GAUUCUGGCUCAGAACGAACGCUGGCGGCAUGGAUUAGGCAUGCAAGUCGAACGAAGCAGCAAUGCUUAGUGGCGCAAGGGUGAGGAACACGUGAGUGACCUACCCGCAAGUUUGGAACAGCUCCUGGAAACGGGAAUUAAUACCGGAUGUGAUCGAUGAACUGCAUGGUUUAUUGAUUAAAGCAGCAAUGCGCUUGCGGAUGGGCUCGCGUCCCAUUAGCUAGUUGGUGAGGUAACGGCCCACCAAGGCCAUGAUGGGUAGCUGGUCUGAGAGGACGACCAGCCACACUGGGACUGAGAACUGCCCAGACUCCUACGGGAGGCUGCAGUCGAGAAUUUUGGGCAAUGGACGAAAGUCUGAACCCCCAGCAAUGCCGCGUGCGGGAUGAAGGUCUUCGGAUUGUAAACCGCUGUUUGGAGGGACGAAAAUUGACGGUACUUCCAGAGGAAGCCACGGCUAACUACGUGCCAGCCGCUGC